UACGUAGGGGGCAAGCGUUGUCCGGAUUUAUUGGGCGUAAAGAGCGUGUAGGCGGUCAGGUAGGUCCGUUGUGAAAACUCGAGGCUCAACCUCGAGACGCCGAUGGAAACCAUCUGACUAGAGUCCGGAAGAGGAGAGUGGAAUUCCUGGUGUAGCGGUGAAAUGCGCAGAUAUCAGGAAGAACACCCGUGGCUUAGGCGGCUCUCUAGUACGGUACUGACGCUGAGACGCGAAAGCGUGGGGAGCGAACAGG
rnacentral:rRNA from 1 species